CCCAAUGUUCCUAAUAGAUAAGGAUUAUCGGACUUGUAAUUUAGGGAAUUCAGUUAGCUCGUACUGUUUUUAUGUCAAGUUGAAAUUUAUCUCAAUACGAACUUAAAUAUAGGAUUACAUUUUUGAGUAUAAUACACAAAAGAAUAUACUAGUUCAAGACACCUAUUAUAUAUUUGUUGGGUGAGACCUGUUCAAAACGAGUUCGGGUCACUCAACCUCAAAACUGUAUUAACGAAAAUAUAUGAAAUUUGUUACAUAUAAUAACAUAGGAAAAAUGUAAUAAAUCAUCCUUUUUCUAUGAUCUUUAACAAGUUAUUGUUUAAUUUGGAAAGGCUUUAGAAUUUUAGCAAAUCGAUAGAUAAUUUUCUCUAAAUACUAUAGAGAAGAUACUUUUGAUGCUUUUUAAUAGAAAACUUAAUAUAACGCCAUUGUAAUGCUCAUUGUUAGUAGAUAGUACAAGUUUUCAAAAAGUUGUAUAGAAACUGAGAAGUUGAAUUGUGCUAGAAUGGAAGAGAACAAGAAAGAAACUAUUAAAGAUAGAAUAAACUGUUGUAGGAAUGGACCGAAAGUUUGGUGUAUUAAAUACUUUUUUGAAGGACAAAUGAAAAGAGAUGAUGAAGAUAAUGAGGAAUUUAUUAGAGGUGAACAUUUCGGAGGACGAAGUAAAUUUUUGAAGAAAUAUAGAAGAAUUAUAGCAGUUUUAAUACCAUUUUUAAUUGUUGAAUUUUUGUGGUUUUCCUACGCUAUCCAGCAUUCGAUUUGGGAAAAAUUUACGACUGGAUAUACUAUGACUCUAACUAUGAUUUUUGGUUCGAUUAUUGCUGGAAUGACAUCCGAGGGAGGAGGAGCAGUUGCAUUUCCAGUGAUGACUCUUCUUUUAAAAAUAGAUCCUGUAAAGGCCAAGGAUUUUUCAUUAUUAAUUCAAUCAUGCGGAAUGUCUUGCGCCUCUUUCAGCAUUUUUUUCAUGAAAGUUCAAGUCGAGUACAAUUCUAUAAUAUUCUGUUCCAUAGGAGCAAUAGGUGGUGGUAUUUUUGGCUAUGAAUUCGUUGAUAAAAAACUAACAGCAGCGCAGAAAAAGAUGUUGUUUGUCUGCAUUUGGUUUACAUUUGCUUUUUCCCUCUUCUUAUUAAAUUUUAGAAAAAAAAGGAAAACUUUUAGGCAAAUAGUAAAUCUGCAAUGGUGGACCUAUCCUAUACUAUUGUUAACUGGUUUUGUCGGUGGGAUAUUUACAUCAUUUACAGGCAGUGGUGUAGAUAUAUGCUCUUUUAGCAUACUAACACUACUCUUUAGAGUUUCUGAGAAAGUUGCUACACCAACAUCUGUAGUUCUUAUGGCAUUUAAUUCAUUUUUUGGAGUUUUUUGGAGAAAUUUUAUACACGAGGGAAUUUCAACAGUUACUUGGGAUUAUUUUUUGGUUUGCGCACCAAUUGUAGUCGUAGGAGCUCCAAUAGGUUCACUCUUUGGUACCCAUUUUCACAGAUUAGUUUUAGCCGCUCUUGUUUACAUAGUAGAUGUAGCAUCAAUAGUUACAGCAUUCAUAAUUAUUAAACCAACGGGUUCACUGUUAGGAUUAUCUCUGGGAGCUAUAGGAGCUGGUUUUAUAUUCUUUCUAGCAAUAACAAAAAUAGGAGAUAAACUUUUAAAGAGUUUAGAAAGUAAUUUCAUUAAUGUCGAAAAGAAUACAACAGAAUUAAAUAACGUUGAAAAUUCAAACCAGCUCCAGGUUGUUACUAAUUCAGAUAUUUGAAUAAAGGAAAACAUUGAAAAUAUUCAUGUAUUUUAAAUAUAUUAAUAUAUA
rnacentral:misc_RNA from 1 species